GAUGAACGCUGGCGGCGUGCCUAAUACAUGCAAGUCGAGCGAACGGACGAGAAGCUUGCUUCUCUGAUGUUAGCGGCGGACGGGUGAGUAACACAUGGAUAACCUACCUAUAGGACUGGGAUAACUUCGGGAAACCGGAGCUAAUACCGGAUAAUAUUUUGAACCGCAUGGUUCAAAAGUGAAAGACGGUCUUGCUGUCACUUAUAGAUGGAUCCGCGCUGCAUUAGCUAGUUGGUAAGGUAACGGCUUACCAAGGCAACGAUGCAUAGCCGACCUGAGAGGGUGAUCGGCCACACUGGAACUGAGACACGGUCCAGACUCCUACGGGAGGCAGCAGUAGGGAAUCUUCCGCAAUGGGCGAAAGCCUGACGUAGCAACGCCGCGUGAGUGAUGAAGGUCUUCGGAUCGUAAAACUCUGUUAUUAGGGAAGAACAUAUGUGUAAGUAACUGUGCACAUCUUGACGGUACCUAAUCAGAAAGCCACGGCUAACUACGUG
rnacentral:rRNA from 1 species